rnacentral:rRNA from 1 species
UACGUAGGGUGCGAGCGUUAAUCGGAAUUACUGGGCGUAAAGCGUGCGCAGGCGGUUCGCUAAGUUCGUUGUGAAAGCCCCGGGCUUAACCUGGGAACGGCAAUGGAAACUGGCGGGCUGGAGUGUGGCAGAGGGGGGUGGAAUUCCACGUGUAGCAGUGAAAUGCGUAGAGAUGUGGAGGAACACCGAUGGCGAAGGCAGCCCCCUGGGCCAACACUGACGCUCAGGCACGAAAGCGUGGGGAGCAAACAGG